AGUGAACGCUGGCGGUAGGCCUAACACAUGCAAGUCGAACGGCAGCACAGUAAGAGCUUGCUCUUACGGGUGGCGAGUGGCGGACGGGUGAGGAAUACAUCGGAAUCUACUUUUUCGUGGGGGAUAACGUAGGGAAACUUACGCUAAUACCGCAUACGACCUACGGGUGAAAGCAGGGGAUCUUCGGACCUUGCGCGAUUGAAUGAGCCGAUGUCGGAUUAGCUAGUUGGCGGGGUAAAGGCCCACCAAGGCGACGAUCCGUAGCUGGUCUGAGAGGAUGAGCAGCCACACUGGAACUGAGACACGGUCCAGACUCCUACGGGAGGCAGCAGUGGGGAAUAUUGGACAAUGGGCGCGAGCCUGAUCCAGCCAUACCGCGUGGGUGAAGAAGGCCUUCGGGUUGUAAAGCCCUUUUGUUGGGAAAGAAAAGCAGCAGGUUAAUACCCCGCUGUUCUGACGGUACCCAAAGAAUAAGCACCGGCUAACUUCGUG
rnacentral:rRNA from 1 species